CUUUGUGGUGAGGGUUAAGAGCCACAAGGCCACAAAGUACUGAAUGCAGGGCUGGCACUUGGCGGACCAAAGCAAAAGCAUCCCAGUGAAGGCGCCCCCAGCUGUACGGGAGGCACAGGCGGUUUUAGGAGAGGGUCAGAUUUUCCUAGACGACUUCUAAGUUUGCAUUCUUCUUAAAAAGGGAGGUGCUGGAUGAGCCUCAUAGCCUUGGGUCCCCAAGCUCUGAAGCAGCAGGUCUAGGAGGGGAGGCUGACCGUCGUCAAAUAACUGUGCAUAUCCAUGUGUGAUGAUGAACUAUGCCAAGUGCCAUGCAAGGAAGCUCCGGGCUUUGACAGCAGAUUUCAUUUUGAUAAGAGAAUUCCAGCUUUGUUGCCAACCAACAUUUUAAGAAGUCACAUAAAGAAGCAAUGCCUUGAAAAUGCAUUUUCUUUGCAUGCUA